rnacentral:rRNA from 1 species
AACGAACGCUGGCGGCAGGCUUAACACAUGCAAGUCGAGCGCAUCCUUCGGGGUGAGCGGCGGACGGGUGAGUAACGCGUGGGAACGUGCCCUCUUCUACGGAAUAGCCUCGGGAAACUGAGAGUAAUGCCGUAUACGCCCGCAAGGGGAAAGAUUUAUCGGAGGAGGAUCGGCCCGCGUUGGAUUAGGUAGUUGGUGGGGUAACGGCCUACCAAGCCGACGAUCCAUAGCUGGUUUGAGAGGAUGAUCAGCCACACUGGGACUGAGACACGGCCCAGACUCCUACGGGAGGCAGAAGGGGGGAAUUUUGGAAAAUGGGGGCAACCCUGUUCCAGCCAUGCCGGGUGAUCGAUGAAGGCCUUAGGUUUGUAAAGAUCUUUCAGCUGGGAAGAUAAUGACGGUACCAGCAGAAGAAGCCCCGGCUAACCCCGU